rnacentral:tmRNA from 3 species
GGGGGCGUACCGGUUUCGACGGGGACGCUGCAGUGGGAAUAGCGGGCGGUGGCGCCUGGCCACCUUAAAACGGGCAUUCUUUAUAAAUUAAAGAACGACAACUACGCUUACGCUGCCUAAUUAAAGGCAGCCGUCUGACCGGGAAGGGCCACGAGCCCGGAUCAGGCGUCGCUUAGUGGCGGACGUGAGCCGGCAAAGCUUUGAGCCGGCCAUGCAUCAUGAAGCUCACCUGACCUUCAGGCGUGACGGCUUGCCUGAAGCGAAGGGAACGGGGAGAGCAAGACUCCUGUAAUAACCGUCUGCGCCCGGAGAAGUUCCCAUGAAUGUGUUUUCGGACGGGAGUUCAACUCUCCCCGCCUCCACCA